rnacentral:rRNA from 1 species
AUGGUGCGGGAACGCGUGCGCCUCCACCGCCUGCAGCGAGCUCAGCUCCUCGUUGGCCCCGUCGGCGAAGAGGAACGCGAAUGCUCUGUUCCUGCACGUACAACAGUUUCAGAACAAUCCGUCUGUCCACCUGAAACCUGUUGGUAUACUCAGGGUGAGCAAAGGGCGUCGGACAGGAGCUCACCUGAAGUCGGUGUUCUUGGAGGCGAAGAUGGAGAGGAACUGGUUGACGGAGAUGCCGAGCUGCAGAUCCCACCAGGGGACGAGGAACUCCAGCUUGUUGUGCUUCUUCCUGGACGCCUGCAGCUGCAUGAUCCGCAGGUUGCUCGGAACCGUCCUCCCUCCCCCUGCAGAUCGAGGAAAACCAAGCAUCCGUCCACCGGGAACCAGUGGUGGACGUCCCAGGCGAGGGGCGAGGCGGCGUCGGCGUGGAGGUAG